GUAUUAGUUAUGAUCUUGAAACCCAAAGGAUUUGGCGGUGCUUUAGUCUUUUCAGAGGAAUCUGUCCCGUAAUCGAUGUUCCACGAUAUGUUUUACUUUUAUUUGUUUACAGUUUAUAUACCUCCGUCAUAAGAAUUUCUUUUUAGAGUUAAUUUUCUUAAAUAUUAAAUGUUCAUAUGUCAGGUCAAGGUUUAGCUUAYGUAAAAGAGGAGGUGGGUUACAAUAAAUAUAUUUAAUACGAAAAUUUAAUUUUAAUUUUGUUUUGAAGGCGGAUUUGAAAGUAAAUUAAUUUAUUUAAUUUUUUGAACUUAGCUCUAAAGCAUGCACACAUCGCCCG
rnacentral:rRNA from 1 species